rnacentral:rRNA from 1 species
UACCUGGUUGAUCCUGCCAGUAAUCAUAUGCUUGUCUCAAAGAUUAAGCCAUGCAUGUCUAAGUACAUGCCGAAAUAAGGCGAAACCGCGAAUGGCUCAUUAAAUCAGUUAUGGUUCCUUAGAUCGUUUCUUCCUACUUGGAUAACUGUGGCAAUUCUAGAGCUAAUACAUGCAGUGAGCCUGAAGCCCUUUGGGCGACGGGUGCUUUUAUUAGACCAAGAUCGAUCGGGUUUCGGCCCGUAUUGUGUGGUGACUCUGGAUAACUUUGUGCUGAUCGCAUGGCCACGAGCCGGCGACGUUUCUUUCAAGUGUCUGCCUUAUCAACUUUCGAUGGUAGGUUACUUGCUUACCAUGGUUGUUACGGGUAACGGAGAAUCAGGGUUCGAUUCCGGAGAGGGAGCCUGAGAAACGGCUACCACAUCCAAGGAAGGCAGCAGGCGCGCAAAUUACCCACUCCCGGCACGGGGAGGUAGUGACGAAAAAUAACAAUACGGGACUCUUUUGAGGCCCCGUAAUUGAAAUGAGUACACUCUAAAUCCUUUAACGAGGAUCAAUUGGAGGGCAAGUCUGGUGCCAGCAGCCGCGGUAAUUCCAGCUCCAAUAGCGUAUACUAAAGCUGCUGCGGUUAAAAAGCUCGUAGUUGGAUCUCAGUUCCAGACGAGUAGUGCAUCUACCCGAUGCGACGGCUCGGACUGAACAUCAUGCCGGUCCUUUCUUGGUGCACUUCAUUGUGUGCCUCGAGAAGGCCGGUGCUUUUACUUUGAAAAAAUUAGAGUGCUCAACGCAGGCGAGUCGCCUGAAUAAACUUGCAUGGAAUAAUAGAACAAGACCUCGUUUCUGUUCUGUUGGUUUUUGGAAUACGAGGUAAUGAUUAAGAGGGACAGACGGGGGCAUUCGUAUUGCGGCGCUAGAGGUGAAAUUCUUGGACCGUCGCAAGACGAACUACUGCGAAAGCAUUUGCCAAGAAUGUUUUCUUUGAUCAAGAACGAAAGUCAGAGGUUCGAAGGCGAUCAGAUACCGCCCUAGUUCUGACCAUAAACGAUGGCAACCAGCGAUCCGCCUGAGUUACUCAAAUGACUCGGCGGGCAGCUUCCGGGAAACCAAAGUGUUUGGGUUCCGGGGGAAGUAUGGUUGCAAAGCUGAAACUUAAAGGAAUUGACGGAAGGGCACCACCAGGAGUGGAGCCUGCGGCUUAAUUUGACUCAACACGGGAAAACUUACCCGGCCCGGACACUGGGAGGAUUGACAGAUUGAGAGCUCUUUCUUGAUUCGGUGGAUGGUGGUGCAUGGCCGUUCUUAGUUGGUGGAGCGAUUUGUCUGGUUAAUUCCGAUAACGAACGAGACUCUAGCCUAUUAAAUAGGUGCGGGGUUCCCAGCACCUUACAACCUUCUUAGAGGGACAAGCGGCUCCUAGCCGCACGAAACAGAGCAAUAACAGGUCUGUGAUGCCCUUAGAUGUCCGGGGCCGCACGCGCGCUACACUGAAGGAAGCAGCGUGUCUUUAUCCCUGUCUGAAAAGACUGGGUAACCCGUGGAACUUCUUUCGUGAUUGGGAUAGGGGCUUGCAAUUGUUCCCCUUGAACGAGGAAUUCCCAGUAAGCGCGAGUCAUAAGCUCGCGUUGAUUACGUCCCUGCCCUUUGUACACACCGCCCGUCGCUACUACCGAUUGAAUGAUUUAGUGAGGUCUUCGGACCGAUGUCCGGCGCGGCCUUUCGGUUGCGCCGGUCUGUUGGAAAGAUGACCAAACUUGAUCAUUUAGAGGAAGUAAAAGUCGUAACAAGGUUUCCGUAGGUGAACCUGCGGAAGGAUCAUUA